rnacentral:rRNA from 1 species
CCCCUCGUACGUGUACGGGGCUGAUAGUACCGUUAGAAUAAGGGUCGGCUAACUUCGUGCCAGCAGCCGCGGUAAUACGAAGGACCCGAGCGUUAUCCGGAUUCAUUGGGUUUAAAGGGAGCGUAGGCGGAAUGAUAAGUCAGUGGUGAAAUCCUGCAGCUUAACUGCAGAACUGCCAUUGAUACUGUCGUUCUUGAAUACAACUGAUGUGGGCGGAAUGUGCCAUGUAGUGGUGAAAUACUUAGAUAUGGCACAGAACACCGAUUGCGAAGGCAGCUCACAAAAUUGUUAUUGACGCUGAGGCUC